rfam:Melampsora larici-populina 98AG31 unplaced genomic scaffold MELLAscaffold_34, whole genome shotgun sequence.
ACUGACCAAGCCAGCGAGUAUAUAACCUUAUCCGAAAGGAUUGGGUAAUCUUGUGAAACUUGGUCGUGAUGGGGAUAGAGCAUUGCAAUUAUUGCUCUUCAAC